AUCUUUCCAUUAAUGCUCUUGUGUAAGGUUAACGUUUUGAUUUGUAGAGUUUUCUUGGUAUGUUACUAAAGGGGGCUCAAUUUCGUUAAUUGCCAUUGGUUUGUCUAAUAUGGCUUAAGUUUACAUUUUGGAGAAAAAUUAUUUCUUGUUACUAGUUCUAGCAUUAUAUUUUUCAUAUUUUUAUGAAAUUACUCAAUAUUGGAGAAGGGUUUUAAAUGGUAUGGGGGAUUAGGAAAAGAAAAUGUUAAGCUUUAACGCUUUUAUGAAGGAUGGCUGCUUUUAGGCCCACUAGUCAUUUCAUUUUUUGAUAUAUUACCCUGUGGUGUAGGUUGUAUCCUGUUUCAAAUAAGCUGUGCCUUAUUUGAAUAGCUCUUAAAUUUAGUGGCGGUUUAGAGAAACUAGGAAAAACUUAAGGUUGAACUAAAAUUCUUUUCUUGAGUAACCAGCUAUUUCUGGGUGCGGUAGGUUUAUCACCUCUACUUGGAAAUCUUCCCACUCUAUUGCAACAGAGACGGGUUGGCUCUUACAGCUGUUUCGAAGUAGCU
rnacentral:rRNA from 1 species